UCGUCUCGCGAUGCUCUAGAUUACGCGAAGACCUUACCUGGCCUUGACAUGCAGAGAACUUUCCAGAGAUGGAUUGGUGCCUUCGGGAACUCUGAGACAGGUGCUGCAUGGCUGUCGUCAGCUCGUGUUGUGAAAUGUUGGGUUAAGCCCCGCAACGAGCGCAACCCUUAUCCUUGUUUGCCAGCGAGUAAUGUCGGGAACUCCAGGGAGACUGCCGGUGAUAAACCGGAGGAAGGUGGGGACGACGUCAAGUCAUCAUGGCCCUUACGGGUAGGGCUACACACGUGCUACAAUGGCCGGUACAAUGGGUUGCGAAUCCGCGAGGUGGAGCUAAUCCCAUAAAGCCGGUCUCAGUCCGGAUCGGAGUCUGCAACUCGACUCCGUGAAGUCGGAAUCGCUAGUAAUCGUGAAUCAGAAUGUCACGGUGAAUACGUUCCCGGGUCUUGUA
rnacentral:rRNA from 1 species